GGCCGUGUGGCUCAAUGGCAGAGCGUCUGACUACGACUAAUGUCCUUGUGACAUUCAGACAAUGUAAUCAGAAGGUCGCAGGUUCGACCCCUGUCUCGGUCA